rnacentral:lncRNA from 1 species
GAGUAUCAAACCACCGGAUAGCAGUCAAACGACCGAUUUGACCACCAGAAACCCUAGAAGUUUAAAACUCACUGGAAAAUUUUCAAAAAUUCUACAACAAUCGAUUGAACCGUUCAAGUGAAGAGGAACAGUCAUAGAUCGUGAAGAUAAAGGCUCGGAACAAGUCCAAUCGGAGUCAAAACCAUCACUGACCUUUCGAUCUCAGAAAACCCCAAAAAUUUCAUUAGAGAACAGUUCAAACGAACUACAGAUUCACAUAAAAGUAUCAUCGGAUCAUUAUGUAGGCUUUGAUACCAUGAAAACAUGCAAGAAAACCAUAGAAAUUUAGAGAGAGAAAGUAGAGAGAAGGAGGAGAGUUUCGGAAGAGUCUCG